rnacentral:rRNA from 1 species
CUCGGUUUUUUGAGCGAUGCGGCACCACCUCUUCCCAUUCCGAACAGAGAAGUGAAACGCAUCAGCGCCUACGAUACUGGGGUUCGUCCCCGGGACAAUAAGUCAAAGCCGGGA